rnacentral:rRNA from 1 species
AUUGAACGCUGGCGGCAUGCUUUACACAUGCAAGUCGAACGGUAACGGGCCUUCGGGUGCUGACGAGUGGCGAACGGGUGAGUAAUGCAUCGGAACGUGCCCAGAGGUGGGGGAUAACGCAGCGAAAGCUGUGCUAAUACCUCAUGUGAUCUGAGGAUGAAAGCGGGGGACCAAGCAGCAAUGUUUGGCCUCGCGCCUCUGGAGCGGCCGAUGUCAGAUUAGGUAGUUGGUGGGGUAAAGGCCUACCAAGCCGACGAUCUGUAGCUGGUCUGAGAGGACGACCAGCCACACUGGGACUGAGACACGGCCCAGACUCCUACGGGAGGCAGCAGUGGGGAAUUUUGGACAAUGGGCGCAAGCCUGAUCCAGCAAUGCCGCGUGCGGGAAGAAGGCCUUCGGGUUGUAAACCGCUUUUGUACGGAACGAAAAGGCUCUGGCUAAUACCUGGGGCUGAUGACGGUACCGUAAGAAUAAGCACCGGCUAACUACGUG